rnacentral:rRNA from 1 species
CCUACGGGAGGCAGCAGUGGGGAAUAUUGCACAAUGGGGGAAACCCUGAUGCAGCGACGCCGCGUGAGUGAAGAAGUAUUUCGGUAUGUAAAGCUCUAUCAUCAGGGAAGAAGAAAGACGGUACCUGACUAAGAAGCCCCGGCUAACUACGGGCCAGCAGCCGCGGUAAUACGUAGGGGGCAAGCGUUAUCCGGAUUUACUGGGUGGAAAGGGAGCGGAGACGGCUGUGCUAGGCUGAAGUUAAAGCCCAGGGCUCAAACCUGGGACAGCUUUGGAUACUGUGGAGCUAGAGUGCUGGAGAGGUAAGUGGAAGUCCAAGUGUAGCGGUGAAAUGCGUAGAUAUGAGGAGGAACACCAGUGGCGAAGGCGGCUUACUGGACAGUAACUGACGUUGAGGCUCGAAAGCGUGGGGAGCAAACAGGAUUAGAUACCCUAGUAGUC